AAGGCGAGCCGAACCUUUUUCUGGACAGCACCGCGCGCCUUCCACGAGUUGGUUCCGCGAUAGAGGUGACCUGACUCCCUGACGUCGUCCUGCAGGUGCAGAAAUUGUCGGCGCAGAUCCUAAUCAUGUCUGAACCAAUCAGAGUCCUUGUGACUGGAGCAGCUGGUCAAAUUGCGUAUUCAUUGUUGUACAGUAUUGGAAAUGGAUCUGUCUUUGGUAAAGACCAGCCUAUAAUUCUUGUGCUGUUGGACAUCACUCCCAUGAUGGGUGUUCUUGAUGGUGUCCUAAUGGAACUGCAAGACUGUGCCCUUCCCCUCCUGAAAGGUGAGUUGGGGAGGCAAAGAGAAA